AUUGAACGCUGGCGGAAUGCUUUACACAUGCAAGUCGAACGGCAGCACGGACUUCGGUCUGGUGGCGAGUGGCGAACGGGUGAGUAAUGUAUCGGAACGUGCCCAGUCGUGGGGGAUAACGUAGUGAAAAUUACGCUAAUACCGCAUACGAUCUAUGAAUGAAAGCGGGGGAUCGCAAGACCUCGCGCGAUUGGAGCGGUCGAUAUCAGAGUAGGUAGGUGGUGGGGUAAAGGCCCACCAAGCCAACGAUCUGUAGCUGGUCUGAGAGGAAGACCAGCCACACUGGAACUGAGACACUGUCCAGACUCCUACGGGAGGCAGCAGUGGGGAAUUUUGGACAAUGGGCGAAAGCCUGAUCCAGCCAUUCCGCGUGCAGGAUGAAGGCCCUCGGGUUGUAAACUGCUUUUGUACAGAACGAAAAGGUUUCUACUAAUACUAGGAGCUCAUGACGGUACUGUAAGGAUAAGCACCGGCUAACUACGUGCCAGCCGCCGCAGUAA
rnacentral:rRNA from 1 species